CGUGGGUAACCUGCCUUAUAGUGGGGGAUAGCCUUUCGAAAGGAAGAUUAAUACCGCAUAAGAUUGUAGUAUCGCAUGAUAUAGCAAUUAAAGGAGCAAUUCGCUAUAAGAUGGACCCGCGUCGCAUUAGCUAGUUGGUGAGGUAAUGGCUCACCUAGGCGACGAUCCCUAGCUGGUCUGAGAGGAUGACCAGCCACACUGGAACUGAGACACGGUCCAGACUCCUACGGGAGGCAGCAUG
rnacentral:rRNA from 1 species